CUACGGGUUGCAGCAGUGGGGAAUAUUGGACAAUGGGGGGAACCCUGAUCCAGCCAUGCCGCGUGUGUGAAGAAGGCCUUUUGGUUGUAAAGUACUUUAAGCAGUGAAGAAGACUCUUCGGUUAAUACCCGGGGACGAUGACAUUAGCUGCAGAAUAAGCACCGGCUAACUCUGUGCCAGCAGCCGCGGUAAUACAGAGGGUGCAAGCGUUAAUCGGAAUUACUGGGCGUAAAGCGAGCGUAGGUGGCUUGAUAAGUCAGAUGUGAAAUCCCCGGGCUUAACCUGGGAACUGCAUCUGAAACUGGUAGGCUAGAGUAGGUGAGAGGGAAGUAGAAUUUCAGGUGUAGCGGUGAAAUGCGUAGAGAUCUGAAGGAAUACCGAUGGCGAAGGCAGCUUCCUGGCAUCAUACUGACACUGGGGCUCGAAAGCGUGGGUAGCAAACAGGAUUAGAUACCCCAGUAGUC
rnacentral:rRNA from 1 species